GCAGGCAUAGUAUAAUGGUUAUUAUGCAACCUUGCCAAGGUUGAGAUGCCAGUUCGAUUCUGGUUGCUUGCUCCA
rnacentral:tRNA from 1 species